rnacentral:rRNA from 1 species
AACGAACGCUGGCGGCAUGCCUAACACAUGCAAGUCGAACGAGACCUUCGGGUCUAGUGGCGCACGGGUGCGUAACGCGUGGGAACCUGCCUUUAGGUUCGGAAUAACUCAGAGAAAUUUGAGCUAAUACCGGAUAAUGUCUUCGGACCAAAGAUUUAUCGCCUUUAGAUGGGCCCGCGUAAGAUUAGCUAGUUGGUGGGGUAAAGGCCUACCAAGGCGACGAUCUUUAGCUGGUCUGAGAGGAUGAUCAGCCACACUGGGACUGAGACACGGCCCAGACUCCUACGGGAGGCAGCAGUGGGGAAUAUUGGACAAUGGGCAAAAGCCUGAUCCAGCAAUGCCGCGUGAGUGAUGAAGGCCUUAGGGUUGUAAAGCUCUUUUACCCGUAGAUAGAUAAUGACAGUAUCGGGAGAAUAAGACUCC